ACUCCGCACGGGUACCGAGAACUUUCCGGGGUGAGUUUUAGAAUUUGCUCCUAGGCAUUCUUUUUCUGCGUUUGGAUUUUAUCCCUUGAUUCUUUGGGUUGGUAAACUUUAUGAAAUGGUAACUUGACUGAAGCUCAUUUGGAGAGAAGAGGGGAGUGAGGCGGUGUGUGCUUGGGGCUGGUGUUUGUCAGUGUGAGCGUGUAAGAGCACACCUGCAUUCAAGGGGGUUUGUAGUGUCCGUGCGACAUCUGAGGGAGGUGAGUCGGCGAGCGGGUGGCGAGGCCCCACGCUGAGGGAGGCGGUUGUCUGGUCUCCGGGGAGCAAGUCCCAGGUGCGCGUUUCGGAGGGCGGGACAGUCCUACGCUGUCUCUGCGGGGCAGCGCGUCUGUGAAGCACUCUUAUCCUUCGGGUGUGUCCAUGUGUGCCUGGUUACUGAGUGCGCGGCCGUCUAGGUGUCGACCCAACCAAUGGUAGUGCUCCUAACGCCGCGAGCCCACCUUUGGGCCGCUAUCGCCGCGGCCUCCCCGCGAGGCCCGGGCACUGAAAUUCUGGGGCCUGCGACAGGGCCGGGGGGGACGCAGCCAAGGGCGUCCCUCCCCAGCCUCCAGACUCAGCUCUUCCCCCUCUCCUCUAAUUCCAGCAGCUUAUUACGCCGGCGGCUCAGGGGAGGCAGCCUCAGCACCUGAAGCCUGGGGGGGCCGUGGAGUGGCUCCUGCGUCCCCCGGUGUGGCCACACACGCUCGUGGGGCUGCGCUGUGCUGCGUGGGUGCGGGUCGUGGUCAGCGUGCGUUCGCUUUUCUCAAAACUCCACUCCGAGGGUCCGAGCGCAUGGGGGCGCCUGGGGGCCUGCGCGCCCGGGGCUUUUGGGAGGCGCCAGCGUCCGAGCCUGCGCACCUCGCGCAGGAGGCCAAACCCCCGAAGGCCGGCGCGGGCCCGGGAGUGGGGGCCAUUAAUUACUCUGCGCCAGGCCUAAAGCCUCCAACCCCCAGCAGCAGUUGGCGUGGAUGUCCUGCGGAUUUUAUUUGCAAACAAUGGAAAUGAUUUGUUUUCUCUAAAAAAGGAGUGGGCAAGGCAGAUAUUGGAGGAGGGGGUGGGAGGAGGAGAAGGAAGGGGAAAGAGCUG
rnacentral:lncRNA from 10 species